rnacentral:lncRNA from 1 species
CCUGAUCCCGCAAACUUCUUGUCGCAAACAUCACAUUCGUAACGUUUUUCUUCCGUGUGUGUCCUUUUAUGGUUUUUCAACAGCUUUGUUUCUCGAAAUCUCUUCUUGCAAAUAUCACAUCCAUACGGUUUCAAGGCUUCCACGUCUAUGCCAAGUGCUUUCGACGAUUUCAUAUAAAUUUUCAUUGAUUUCGCCAUCUUAUAGAUAAUUUGUGUCUUCAAUUCACGGCGAGAUAUGUACCACUUUAGGCUUACACUUACCACUUGAUAUAAAUCAAUAAAUUAUAGAACAAUAUUAGGAUUUUAUAGGAACGAAGAGAUUCGAUCAUUCAAGAGACUCGGCAAUCUCGGUGACUCGGCUGGAAGACAACAGGGAACGCCUUAC